CAGUGGGGUCAGCAGUUCUGUAAUUCUAACAAGCUCCAGGUUAUGCAUAUACUGCUGGCCACUAACCUGCCACUCAAGUAGUCUUUGCAGUCAGCUGGGGAGGUUUAAAAAUCACUGAUGCUUCCCUGAAGCUGGUAAACCUGAGUUCAAAUCCCAGCUCUGCUGUUUGCUGCCUGUUGUUCCUUCUUUGUGAAAGGGAAGGUUUCAGUCCCUCUUGGAAAGGGGAGAAAGGGGCGUGUGGUCACGCCCAGCAGGCAUUUACGAGGAUGACUAAGACAUAGGAACCAAGACAAUUGUUUUUAAUAUGCCUCUUUAAAAGGCCGAUUUAUCUUUUUAAGCAAUCCAGGCAAAGAUAAGGUGCUGAGUUCUAUCAAGAGAACAGAGAGACAUUAAUUCCAGAGACACGUCAGGGGUGAGGACGCCCUCACCCAAUAGGUGACCGUGGUUCCCGUGAGAAAAUACCUUUUCCAAAUGGUGCUGUCCCUUCUAUUUCUCUACAGAAGAAUGAUGAAAUCUUCCUCCCUGAGCUCCUGAGAGAACAGGGGGGCUUAGUGGAAACACCACACACCUGGCUGGAUCUUGUCAGGUGGAGACACUGAGGGCUGUUUCUUUCCAGUUCUGGAAGACUUGGAGUUCCUACUCGGCAGCUUUGCUCGGCCUGCUUCAGAGCGAUGCACUGUGCACCACCCCACCUUCAGCACCUAAAACAUUGCCUGCAACGUGGUGGACGCUGAGGAAAUACUGUUGGCUGGGUGUGAUCCUGAGCACUUGGCUCUCAGAUGAUACCUGCAGCCUGAAAAGAGUCUCAGCUAUGAAGACUCUCCAGCUGUGGAUACUGGGAAGCUUGAAGGGCUGAUCUCACAGGGGAGGACGCAGCGUUUCUUGCCUCCAGAAGAUGCAGCAACAAGGUUUCUUCUCGGAAGCAUACAGCAGCACUCACCAGACAACUGAACCUGCUGGUGCCUUGGUUUGGAGCUUCUCAGCCUCCAGAACUGUGAGUAACAAAUAUCUGUUUCUUAUAAAUUACCUAGUCUGUGGUAUCCUGGGUAUUCUGUUGUAGCAGCACAAAACAGUCUCACAUACAACCAGAAGAAACAAAGCAAAAUCUGAAGGCAGAGGUACAUGGAGCAGAGUGCAGAGGAAACCAGACGCGAGGUUUCAAACGUGCUCUCUCCAUGGAACCACAAAGGAUAUGCCUAGUUCCCCCAC
rnacentral:lncRNA from 1 species